rnacentral:rRNA from 1 species
UGGGGAAUAUUGGACAAUGGGGGAAACCCUGAUCCAGCAAUGCCGCGUGAAUGAAGAAGGCCUUAGGGUUGUAAAGUUCUUUCACCUGUGAAGAUAAUGACGGUAGCAGGAGAAGAAGCCCCGGCUAACUCCGUGCCAGCAGCCGCGGUAAGACGGAGGGGGCUAGCGUUGUUCGGAAUGACUGGGCGUAAAGGGCGCGUAGGCGGUUUUUUAAGUGAGGCGUGAAAGCCCUGGGCUUAACCCAGGAAUUGCGUUUCAGACUGGAAAACUUGAGUACGAGAGAGGUAAGUGGAAUUCCUAGUGUAGAGGUGAAAUUCGUAGAUAUUAGGAAGAACACCAGUGGCGAAGGCGGCUUACUGGCUCGUAACUGACGCUGAGGCGCGAAAGCGUGGGGAGCAAACAGG